CAUGUUAUGGAAGAAAGCAAGGAUUCUGAGAAAUGGAGGUGAGGAGGCAGCAGUUUGGGGUCAUGGAGGAUGUCCAAUACAGAGAGACCCAAAGAAAAGAAGAUGACAGAGGAGAUGUUGUGAUGGCAAGGCUAAUGGAGAAGCUGGUGGAAGAGAGGGCCAUCAAGAAGCCAGUCCCUUUCAGUGUCUUCCUUCUACUCCAAGAAUCCUUACAAGCAGUGGAGAAGAGAUAUUAUUGUCUAUGGAGGACCAGGAAGGACAAGUUCUUCAUUAAACAAAUUUAGUCAACAGAAGAAAAAUCUAAAACUGAAAAUGAAUAUAGAGCCAGCAGCAUCAAUUAGAGAAGAAAUCAAUACAACAUCAUCAACAGAAUCAGAUCCGUGUAAGUGGGAGUCUCCUGAGAUAGGUGCUGAUCACCGUUCUGUUUUACACUUGUUUUCCUAACUUAAUCUAUGAAAAACAGAAUUGGGGAGUGGAGAGAAGAGGUUACAGGUUGGAUAAAGGGGGCCACGAUCCCUAUGCAACAAGUCACUACCCUUUCACAGGCUACAAAAACACUCCCAUUAGGCCAGUCAGGCCCCCAUUAGUAACAAGUCUACACUCCUUAAUAUGUACAAAUGGAAAUCCAGUUGGACAACCUUGAGAUUGGACAGAGAAUGAGGAGAUGCUCCAGAGUGGUUUCGUUGGGUUAGGAGACUCCUCUAGUGAUCCUUUAAAUAGAAGUGACCCCACACAUUGGAGGAUUAGUCAGUAGCCUACAAGGUAAGAUGUCAGAAAAAUAUUGACUUCAAGUGUAUUGUCUAAAGCUUCAAUUAUUAUUCAUCCCUCUGGGCUAAGGCACAGUUGACCCCUUUCAGAAUAACCAUGCUUCUGGAGAACAGUAGGACAUUCAACCCUGCAUAUCUCAGCAGAAUGGCUUUCCUUAUCACCUUACAAUACCCCAGAGGAAUGGGACACAGGACAGGCAAGUGGGUAGGGACAGUCUAGAGGAGGAGCAGUGGGAAAUCAGGUAAUUUAGGAUACCAAGGCCAGCCUAAAGGCCUGUGUGAC
rnacentral:lncRNA from 1 species